rnacentral:rRNA from 1 species
UACGUAGGGUGCAAGCGUUAAUCGGAAUUACUGGGCGUAAAGCGUGCGCAGGCGGUUUCGUAAGUCUGUCGUGAAAUCCCCGGGCUUAACCUGGGAAUUGCGUUGGAGACUGCAAGGCUGGAGUCUGGCAGAGGGGGGUAGAAUUCCACGUGUAGCAGUGAAAUGCGUAGAGAUGUGGAGGAACACCGAUGGCGAAGGCAGCCCCCUGGGUCAAGACUGACGCUCAUGCCCGAAAGCGUGGGGAGCAAACAGG